AUUUAUAUUAACUCCGAUUGCCCCCAAACAUUUUGUGCAGCCCCAAAAUAUAGUGCUUGAGUUACGUGCAAAUUUACAUGGUCAACAAAAUUCAUUUGAUAACAGAACCUAAAUAAAAACAGGAGCUAAUAAAUAGAAAAUUAGAUAAUAAAAAGAAGAAGACGAGGUGGACCUAAACUAAUGGGCACUAUGGCCCAUCUAGCAAAGAGGUCGGCCCAACCCACCUCAUCUCCUCUCCCUCCCCACGCUACAGCAAACAGGGGGAGGCCGUGGCGGAAAUCCACGCCUCCCUGGCCGGCGAUGCCGCCGUGGCGGCCAUCUCGCGGUUCCCCGUCGUGCUUAAGGCCACCCCUCGCCCCCCUGCAACCCCCAACCUAACCCUAGGACCUCCCCUGUCCCUCCCUCUUUCUUCCCGCGUAGAUCGAGCCCGAGCCCGAGACCGUUGUUGCCGCCGCCUCGGCGUUGCCGUGCACUGAGGCCACCCCGCGCCACUGGAGGGUGCCCAGGUGGUGCACCUCCAUUGUCUUCGUCGCCUGCACCAGCUGGAUCGGAGCGAGGAGCCACCAUCUCGUCGUCCGCGCCGCCUUCUUCUUCGUCGGCUGCCGCAUGUUGUCACCGUCGGACCGCCUCUCCGGUCCACCCCGACCCUCCCCGAGCGCGCUAAUGGACUCGUGGAAACAAUGGAAGGCAGAUGUUUACCAUUGAGGUUUGCACAGGGAUGUUCCUUUGUCUAAUAGCAUAUUAUUGUGCAAUUGCAGGAACCAUUUUAAUAUUUAAGUUUUUAACAAUUUGGUCUUGCACAUGUAGGUCAUGAUGUCAGAGCUUUUGACCCACUGUUCAACCCAUUUUGCAUAUGGAAAAAUGAGAUGUCCAUGAAUAUAAGUCGAUUCACGAAACUCAGAAAGAUUGUUAGGAUAAGAAAACUAGCAAUGAAAAACAAUAAGAACUUUGUCUUCACAAUGAAGAAGAUAUCAGUGAACUAUAUGAUGGCCUUUCCAAAGCAGUACAACCGCCCAGAAAGAGCGGUGCAACCGCCCCAACUACCGAUCCGCCUGGGCUCGUUUCGGAUAUCUAAGCGGAACAAGCUCUUCCGCGCCAUUUUUAUUUAUUUCUGUAAACCAAUCCGAUCUUUUUUCUUUUGUUGUGUGUCGUCAAUGGACAGAACAUGCAUGCGCCUUAUCGUGUAUCGUUGAAGUCAUGGAAUAGAUGGGGUUUUAACAUUUUCAUAUGUAGCAAGAGUAAGAGUAAAGAUAAUCAGUAUAUAGUGAACAUUGAUUGGCAGAUAGAAAAUGUCACAUAUUAACCAAACGGAAAUAUACAAUCCAUCAAGAAAAUAAUAUAAUAUUCUACUUAUUCAGCAUAAGACACCGCAUCACCGGCAAGCGAC